rnacentral:lncRNA from 1 species
GGUCUGGUCUGGUCUGGUGAUCGCCCUCGAAAGUUCUUCACUCGCAAGAAAUGUGGGGUUCAAACUUAAUCCAACUGAUUUUAUUUGUAAUUUCGAUCACUGUAACUGAGUUUCGAAAUCUACAAUCCGAUCUGUUAGGGUAGGUGAAGUUGAUUAAACCAUGCAUUAAAUUAGAUAGUGACAUUAGUGUUGAAUUUUGUAAGGGAGAUUAGUAGAAAAUACUCACAAAGUAGGAAUUGAAAUAUGAU